rnacentral:rRNA from 1 species
UCAAUACAUACCCCUACUUACAUACAUAAAUUGCUCAAAAUGCUAG